AAAGGGACCUAUGAAAAAAUCAACAUGUCCAUUCCAACUAUGCCAAACGCCAAUGAACAGACAGAUGAUGUGACCUAUUCUGAGGUUACCGCUUCCAGUAAAAAACAAGUACAAGUGGACAAUAAUCAUUCUAAUGAUACAGUGACAUACGCUACCAUCAGAGGAACAGAAUAUGCACCUCAAGAUGGGCUUUACGCCUCUGUGAACAA